GCCAGGUUGUUGCUGUUUGUCCAGGAAGACUUGAGACCUGGUGAGAACCAGUUUGUGAGGGGAGCUGGCCUAGGAUGAGUAUGCCACUGACAACAUUAAGUAGCUCACUCAAAUUGAGUACGUUUUAAAAGGAUUUAACUGAGCGUACAAACAUGGCGGAUCUUCUAUUCAGGCGAAGUAGACCCUUACCAGUAGGGGGCCCCCCAAUCAGCUGUCCUUGCCCCUACGAGCAACGGCUUGGGCCACCGGAGCCAGCAGCACCCCCAACUAUUCAUCAUGUAUAAUUAUGUAAACAUACCAAAC